rnacentral:tRNA from 1 species
UUUCUUGAAGUUUUAAAUAUUAAUUUUGUAAAUUAAAGAAGGGUAAAUAAGCAAGAUAA